UAAUGAAAGUUACUUAUUAGACUAGUAUUUGGGUGUUAAGUAGUAUAGGGUUUUUUGUGUGGCGUUUUCUUCUAAUGUAAUCUAUCUUGAGGUUCUUCGAGCCCCUCUAAUAACAUAACCUCUAGUUUCUCUCUCUUCUUCGGUAGAUCUAUGAUCGAUACCUGGAUAUCCACACACCACUUGAUGAGUGUGUAGUAACGAUCCCGUCGUUCCAACUACAUCUUCGGGAGGCACUAGCUAAUGGGGAGGCUGUAUCAUGAUCUUUUCCGGAGGUCUACCCUAGCGCCUUGUUGUCUUCGAACACCGCCGCCUUUUUAACAAAGCCCAACGAGGGACCCCCAAAGGUUUAUAAACUCUUAAAUAUCUUCACCUUAAUCCAGUCUGUCUCGGUGCACCUCGGGUGUUCCGUAGUCCCGUGCGGAUGGGGGGUUCCACGCGGGACAACGGAACGGCAGAGGAGCAUACAGCAGACCAGAGGAGGGUUUCGGAGGUACCAGAGAAAAGAGGGUUUUUUUAACAGUUUUUCAAAGUAUCGUAAACCUCAGGCAAACCAUGGCUACAAGACCUUUUGGUUUUUGUCGGUUUUUAUCGUUGACCGUGAUCCGUGAUCCAAUUAUCCGAUCAAGUGUUUUUACUAUAUUUUAACGUAUAAUUUCGUAUAUUUCAUAGGUUUUAACUAUUAUAUUAUCCAACUUUAUUAGUUUUAAAUAGCUAUGCAACCUCUGAAUAGUCCACCAGCGCAAAAGUUUUCACUAGUUCGUUCGGCUGGUUCCUGAAAUAAAUCUCGAUGUCCCAGAUCCAGUAUCUGUAGAGCUUCACGCACAAAGGAAAGGAAGGAACUCUACACCCACUACAUCUAGUAUAAGUGUAGGAACUGUAGCCUUCCCUUGACGAAGACCGGAAGCAACGAGCCGGAGGCUCCAAGUAGGAGUAGCAGCGACGCCCUGACCGAAAACGAGACCGGAAGCUGACGGUGGAACUGCCGGAUGAACUACUGGAUCGUUAAGGCCAAUCACACCAACCAGCCGAACAGGCUUCAAGUACUUAAACCGUCUCGGACAGCUCUUAAAACAGCUCGCGCGAUCCUGUCAGGAAUAAAGGAAAUUUCCCGAAGAAAAAGACCGGUCGUAACCGGCGAUGUAGGUGCCGUAGUGACGGCGAUAAAAAUACAGCCGCGAACAAGAAUAACGUGGAUCCGAACGGCAACGGUAGCGCGUGGAGGCUCCCAGGUCGAAGCAACGGUACUCUCGACACUCGGUCGGUCAACAGGAGCGGACGCGUUUUCGUCCAGUAGUCUCUCCAUUCCCGACGGUACCAAGAAUCGAACAGGAUAUACUCGAUAGUAUGGUUGGUAAGUAGGGCCUAUGAUAUGGCCUUCCGCUGCUAGUGAAUACGUAGUCCUGUUUGUUGAUAAACCAAGAAAAAUCAAUUCUUGGCUAAGGUUUUAAAGGACCGGCUGAGCGAUCCGACAACUUACUACACCGACUCCAGUAACCACAGACCUCUAGUCUGCAUCCACGGGACCUUCAAAUGAGCUUUCCGUGGGAGCUCGACGAGGAUCGAGGGCUAUCUAAACAGUCCAUUCUACAACUCGGUUACGGAACAGCUAGGGAACUCGAAGUGGCCUUCCAUGAAUUAUCACACCUCCAGUAGAGAUGAUCGCUAUACUUACACCUCCUCCUUUAGAAGCUAGGUGUAUCGGCCCAGUCAGUAAGGUAGCAUGCGGAGCUACAACUACCCAAAUUUGGGAAGCUCCUCGACUACGAGGUACUGGAACAAACAUUUCGUAUAGUCCACACACCCCGUGACCUUUUCCUUGGUGGAGUAGGGUCUGUAACCAACCGUAAGCUCGUAUACGAACGAGGACCCGGGAGGGUAUGGACAGGUUGGUCCGGACCAUCGACUGGAUACAUCGUCCGCGCACAGGAACACUAGGUAUUUACCUAGCUCGAUCUUGGUCCAAACGCAAAAUGACGCAAGCGUUUAACAAGCUGAGCCCCAUUACCUAACCCAGCAACGGAAGUGCCGCUCCAUAGUAAUCUCCUAAAGACAAAAGGGGACAGCCGGACAGAGUGAGAGCGGGGGAUCUUCCCUCUAACCCAACUAGUCGAGCCAGCACGGAUUAACCGUGUAAGAGUCGAUGAAGUAACAAGUUCAGUUCUUCGUUUACGGCUACAACCAUCCUAAACCGAACGGGGAGCGUAGCACGGAGUUCUAGAACUAGUUGACGCACGUAGAGAUACGUGAACAGUAAUUCGCAUAAAACUAGUCGCUCUUCAACGACGACGAAAAAGAAAUACGAGGACCACCAACGUCGCUCCGCGACGGCCUUAGGGAGAACGAGCAUGCCCAGGAGCCCCUGUUACUUCAGAACCCCAGGCUCCGAGUGUAGGAGGAGUUUAAGUCCUUCCAUUAGUGAAAAGAGGAGUCGGAACCCUAGGAACCCCAGGGACAACGGCUAGACUCGCCCUCACCGCAAUAACGGUAAAGGGACCAGCAGCUGCAACAGUCCCCACCCCGGUAGUCAGCACCGACGGUACAACAACCAGACCCACAACGGGGACGGUCACGGAAAACCAGCGGAUGCUCCCGCAGCUGCAGACCCACCUAGAAAGUCGCACAGGUGGUAUAUUUGUAGUAUCCAUCUGCAGCUCCGGGUUAACAGCCACACCCCACACUGGGGACUUUUACGGCGGGGGUUACGUCGUAACCGUAAAAGUAGGUAUAGUCGACGGAGUAGCCUCCGCAUCAAGUCCUGCAGUCAAUUCAGGAACUAACAUCCUGAUCCACUCACCACCCACCCUACAUUUAAAGGGAUCGUAGUAGAAAUGUAGGCUAGGAUAGUAUCUGGCUCCUGCUCUAGUGAUCUAAGAUUUAGGCCAGAUCCUAGAGCAAAUAGACGCUCUCUAGAGAAACUAGGUACCGGACAGACAUUCGGUCCAGCUUUACUUUAUACGAGACACCCAACGAACCGACGGAAUCUCAACACCGACCGCUCCCAACUGAGUAUCAGCCGGUCGCUUCUCUAUACCUAAGUUUAGAUUACGGCCAUGGUUCAAGCCUGAACUGAGCUCCAGUUUUAGACUACUCUGUCGUUAGCCCAGAUGCGAACUUUAGCGCAGACUGCGCUGCUACCGGUCUGGGUAUGAGCUGCGAUCGAGACUACUCCGUAGGUAAGACUCGUGGCCUAAUACCCAGUCAACGCCCCAGUUUCGGUCACACAGACUUCUCAAGCGUCCGGUUAGACCGUAGGUCCGUUUCUCCCGCUCCAGCGACACCCUCAGCCGCCACAUGAGCUUUGUAAACUUGUACUACUGAACCAAGUCUUACUUCGAAAACUGCGCCAGCUCCACCGGUUAGCUUAACCGCACGUCCUGCCACAACGACUUUCGUUUUUCGACUGGUGCCUGCUUCCACAGUGGUGUCAACUACAGACGUCCGCUCGGUAGCUAGGAAAAGUUAGUGUGUCGCCCGGAGAGUUACUUUCUUGGUUACGGCCAUGAUUUUGGCCGCCUAGAGCCCAACCCCCGGGGUUCGACAGCUAGAGCCUAGUUACCCAUUGUUCUCUGCCUCCUCUGUAAUCAAAGGGUCCAAGCCCGGGAAAGCUCCUCCAUUUUGGGAUGCAUGACAAAACUAACAUAACUACUACUACAUAGCUCAUGUCCGAACUAGAUUGAGCUUGAGCAUACAACUCAAGAUUGGGAUUCCAUCCAUUUAACACUAGUAGGGAGAUGCCUGAUUUUGGGGAAACGAAUAUAUCCACGACCCAUAGAUCCCAAUGUGUACCAGCCAACGGUUGAUCCCUAUUUGUACGGCUGUCCGCUUCAUCAGGAACUUCAUGCACGGUUCAGAAACCCACUCAGGUAGAACCAGUACAUAUUCUAGCUCCGAAGAUAACAGGAGGGAACACUGCAGCCACCCGGUAUUCGAGCCGGGUACCUGACACCCGGUUGAUCCAAGCAUGGGGGAUCAGGUCCUGUGGUCGCACUUCGGGAACCUUUUACCAAGGAGUCCUUACACGCCGAGCUUCGUACAGCCCGGCCAUCUUGAAAGGGGGAAGUUCCGGUCCCUGGCACGGUCGGCGAGCUAUGCCACCGCUCGCAGAACGAGCAGUACUCCCCGGGCGCCGGGGUCGGCGAGUGAAUAGCGUCCCGCGCGUCGGCCGGGAUGCUUACGGCCGACCGGGGUUACACGUCCACCCCCGACGGCACGGCCGGUCACCACACGAGGCUGUCGGCCGAGCAAGUGUGCCGACGACUGUCAGCCGCCCAGCGCCUAUGGAGACGAGGCCAACGGGGCGUCGGCCGAAGAACAACGGCAGGCUGUUUCUACGAACAACACAGCCGACUCCCCGGGGUCGGCGGGCGGCCAGCCGGUCGAGCUCUCCUCCCCAGGGUCUCACUCUUCGUCUACUGACAACUCCGUCAUGGCUAACACGGACGACGACCAAGCGCCAUC
rnacentral:rRNA from 1 species